GGAGGCAUUGCUGCUCAGUGGCAGAUCACCUGCCUUGCAUGCAGGUAGUCCCAGGUUCAAUCCCCAGCAUCUCCA